rnacentral:rRNA from 1 species
UUGGGGAAUAUUAGGCAAUGGGCGAAAGCCUGACCUAGCAACGCCGCGUGAAGGAAGAAGGCCUUCGGGUUGUAAACUUCUUUUAUGAGGGACGAAGGACGUGACGGUACCUCAUGAAUAAGCCACGGCUAACUACGUGCCAGCAGCCGCGGUAAUACGUAGGUGGCGAGCGUUGUCCGGAUUUACUGGGUGUAAAGGGCGCGUAGGCGGACUGGCAAGUCAGAUGUGAAAUACAGGGGCUCAACCCCUGAACUGCAUUUGAAACUGUUGGUCUUGAGUAUCGGAGAGGCAAGCGGAAUUCCUAGUGUAGCGGUGAAAUGCGUAGAUAUUAGGAGGAACACCAGUGGCGAAGGCGGCUUGCUGGACGAGAACUGACGCUGGGGCGCGAAAGCGUGGGGAGCAAACAGGAUUAGAUACCCGUGUAGUCC